rnacentral:rRNA from 1 species
UUUUCUAAAAUUAUUAGGUAGAAUUUUAUUUUUAGACAAUGACGAUAAUUUAUAAACUUAAAAACUAUAGUAGGGACCAGGAUUAGAUACCCUGUUACUUAUAAAAAAUAUGUUUUGGACUAGUAGUAAAAAUGAAAUUUAACGGAUUUGGCGGCAAGAUAGCCAUUUAGAGGAACCUGCCCUAUAAACGAUGAACCACGAAUACCUUACUUUUUUUUGAGAUCAGUUUGUAUACCGCUGUUGGCAGUUAGUUUCAUUAGAAAACUUUCGUUAAUAAUAUAAUUAUUGACUUCAAGUAAAGGUGCAGCAAAUAAAAAAGACAGAGGUGGGUUACAUUUAAUUGAAUAAAACGGAUAAAGUUAUGAAAUUGCUUUUGAAGGUGGAUUUAAUAGUAAAGUUUAAUAAAACUUGAUGGGAGCUCUGUCUUGUGUACACACCGCCCGUCGCUCUCUUUUUUAAA